UACAGAGACUGCGAGCGUUAUUCGGAUUCACUGGGCGUAAAGGGUGCGCAGGCGGCCAAGUGUGUUAGGCGUGAAAGCCCGAGGCUUAACCUCGGAAUUGCACCUAAAACUACUUGGCUAGAGUACUGGAGAGGGAAACGGAAUUCACGGUGUAGCAGUGAAAUGCGUAGAUAUCGUGAGGAACACCAGCGGCGAAGGCGGUUUCCUGGACAGUUACUGACGCUCAGGCACGAAAGCGUGGGGAUCAAAAGGG
rnacentral:rRNA from 1 species